rnacentral:RNase_P_RNA from 1 species
AAAGUUAAUUAAAACAGUCGCUUUUAUAAAUUAAUAAAAGAGGAAAGUCCGGACUCCAUAGGGUAUGGUGCCAGAUAAUUACUGGGAAGUUUAAACUUACGAAUAGUGCAACAGAAAAAAUACCGCCUUUUUAGAAAAAAAGGUAAGGGUGAAAAGGUAUGGUAAAAGCAUACCGGUAUAUUAGUAAUAAUAUACGUCAAUGUAAACUCCACCAGGAGCAAGGCUAAAUAAGAUUCGUAUAACCCGUACUAUGAAUCUGGGUAAGCUGCUUGAAAUAAUAAGUGAUUAUUAUUCUAGAUAAAUGACUGUUUUAGACAGAAUCCGGCUUAAAAAUUAACUUUAUAU